GACGAACGCUGGCGGCGUGCUUAACACAUGCAAGUCGAACGGAAAGGCCCUGCUUUUGUGGGGUGCUCGAGUGGCGAACGGGUGAGUAACACGUGAGUAACCUGCCCUUGACUUUGGGAUAACUUCAGGAAACUGGGGCUAAUACCGGAUAGGAGCUCCUGCUGCAUGGUGGGGGUUGGAAAGUUUCGGCGGUUGGGGAUGGACCCGCGGCUUAUCAGCUUGUUGGUGGGGUAGUGGCUUACCAAGGCUUUCACGGGUAGCCGGCAUGAGAGGGUGACCGGCCACAUUGGGGGUGAGAUACGGCCCAGGCUCCUGCGGGAGGCAGCAGUGGGAAAUAUUGCGCAAUGGGCGGAAGCCUGAUGCAGCAACGCCGCGUGCGGGAUGACGGCCUUCGGGUUGUAAACCGCUUUCGCCUGUGACGAAGCGUGAGUGACGGUAAUGGGUAAAGAAGCACCGGCUAACUACGUG
rnacentral:rRNA from 1 species